UUGCUUGCUUCAGCAGCACACAUGCUAAAAUUGGAAAGAUACAGAGAAGAUUACCUUCCACCAGGAUGAUGCGCAGAUUCGUGAAGCAUUCCAUAGUUUU
ensembl:snRNA U6 U6 spliceosomal RNA